UACAGAGGUCCCGAGCGUUGUUCGGAUUCACUGGGCGUAAAGGGUGCGUAGGCGGUCGGAUAAGUUUGAUGUGAAAUCUCCGGGCUUAACCCGGAAACUGCAUUGAAUACUAUUCGGCUUGAGGUCUGGAGGGGGGACUGGAAUUCUCGGUGUAGCAGUGAAAUGCGUAGAUAUCGAGAGGAACACCAGUGGCGAAGGCGAGUCCCUGGACAGGUCCUGACGCUGAGGCACGAAAGCCAGGGGAGCAAACGGG
rnacentral:rRNA from 1 species